UACGAAGGGGGCUAGCGUUGUUCGGAAUUACUGGGCGUAAAGGGCUCGUAGGCGGUUUGUCGAGUCAGGCGUGAAAGCCCCGGGCUCAACCUGGGAACCGCGCUUGAGACUGGCACGCUAGAGUUCGGGAGAGGAUGGUGGAAUUCCCAGUGUAGAGGUGAAAUUCGUAGAUAUUGGGAAGAACACCGAUGGCGAAGGCAGCCAUCUGGACCGAAACUGACGCUGAGGAGCGAAAGCGUGGGGAGCAAACAGG
rnacentral:rRNA from 1 species